CUCGUAGGCGGCUUGUUGCGUCAGCUGUGAAAACCCGCAGCUCAACUGUGGGCUUGCAGCUGAUACGGGCAGGCUUGAGUUCGGUAGGGGAGACUGGAAUUCCUGGUGUAGCGGUGAAAUGCGCAGAUAUCAGGAGGAACACCGGUGGCGAAGGCGGGUCUCUGGGCCGAUACUGACGCUGAGGAGCGAAAGCGUGGGGAGCGAACA
rnacentral:rRNA from 1 species